UUGUGUAUAUAAAUGACAUUGUAAUAUGUUUGGAUAAAAACAUUCAUAUGGUUGUUUUUCUUUAUAAUAGAAGGCAAAAGCUAUUAAACAAAUAAGAGACAAAUGCAACAAAAUAAUACAUACAUCCCAUUUAAUCUUAUUAUGCAUAACCAAACAGCACCUUUAAUGGAUUUGAUUGAUGGUGGAUUCCCCCUCCCCCGAACCAAAAUACAGUUUAUUGUCUCUGUCUCUGUGGUCUCCUGCCUCAGUCUCUCUCUCUCUACAUGGAACGGAAGUUCCUGUGACGUGGCCGUCAUGGAAAUCUUCCACUCCUGGCUCGGCAUACGUACCCGAGCAAAAACCCUAGCCCUCCAUCGCCCACAAUCUCCUCCUCCUCCGAAGCCUGACUCGUGUUACCUCGAGAGCUUUGCUCGCGGCGCCUUGUGAGACCCUUGCACCAACAGAAUUGUGGAAAAGCUAGACAGAACUGUGGUUGCUUAGGAAAACAGGAUCCGGAAGUUAGAGGUGAUGAAGAGUUUCCAGAAACGGGCUUGAUUUCGGGCUCAAUUGAAGCGGAGGAUUUGGGAAUAUUUGAGGCAUCUUUUGGGGAAAGUAGUUUGGAUUGCGGAGCGAGGGAAAGGGCGCGAAGAUAUGCGAAUAGUAGUAUCGUGGACCAACUCAAACCCCGAUACGUCCCAAUAAACUUCGAAUUCCAGAGCGCAUACCUUUUGAGCGUAACUGCAAGGAAUAUCAAAUUGAGUUUACUUGCCGCAAGAACAUUCUUGGUUCGCAAUUUUGACAAUAUGCGUAUUGAAUCGUGACGUCUUGUAACAACCGAGGCGAACUGUUGGAACUGAUGGUAUUUGGUGACGAUAUGCUCAACACAAAAUCCGUCCACAGUUAGUUGUUGGCCAACAUUACAAUAUUUUUCGCCAACCUUUCACAGAAAUAAUGGACAGUUCGCUCAAACGUCAUCUCAUCAAUUACAGUCAACGAGUCAACUCUGCAGCAAAGAUCCUUCAACACGAUAUUUUUGUAUUGAGUUUUGAAAUUGGAACACACAUGCCUCAAUCAAUACCGGUGCAUGCUGUUAGGUGGCAUGAAAUCCGAACUUUCACGUACAGCUUUAACGAUACCAGGAUGGCGAUCAGAAAUAAGGUAAAUACCACGUUUCCCCCGUAUAAUAUGUCUGCUCAAUUGUCUAAGAAACCACUUCCAAGAUGAAUAUGUUCAUCGACAAUUACAAAAGCAAGAGGGAGUACCUGUUGAUUUUCAUUCAUAGCAGCAGCAAUCAACAUUUUGUACUUGUACUUUGUGUAUAAAUGGGUCCCAUCUACACUGAUGAAUUUGCGAUAGUGUAGGAACCCUUCAAUACACGGCUUGAACGCCCAGAAGACGUAUCAUAUCACAUAUGCACCUGUUGAUGGGUGGCGGGCUUUGUGUUGUCAUUCAAUAAUUGUUCUUGGAUUAUAUUUUUGGAGAGCUCCUAUAUAUUUAGGUAGCUUUUGAACUGAGCUCUCACAUGUGUCGUAAAUAAUUUCACGUGGCAUCUUCAAACUAUACCAUGCCUUUUGGUAUGGUAUGUCGUACCCUAUAUGGUCUUUCACAGUUUGGAUGACAUGCUUUAUUUCGUACACGAGGUUGCAUUUCACCUGUCCUAAAAGUAAAGAAGCAACAUAAAUUCUAUCUAAUUACCAUAUUCGAGGGUUAUUUGAUUCAAUAUACAUUUAUCGUCCCCCCUAUUUUGUUAUUAUCCACCUUCCAAUUUUUUGUUUCAAAAUUCCU